GGGGGUAUAGCUCUGUGGUAGAGUGUUUGCUUAGCAUGCAUGAGGUCCUGGGUUCAAUCCCCAGUACCUCCA
rnacentral:tRNA from 1 species